rnacentral:rRNA from 1 species
CCUACGGGCGGCAGCAGUGAGGAAUAUUGGUCAAUGGACGCAAGUCUGAACCAGCCAUGCCGCGUGCAGGAAGACGGCUCUAUGAGUUGUAAACUGCUUUUGUACGAGGGUAAACGCAGAUACGCGUAUCUGUCUGAAAGUAUCGUACGAAUAAGGAUCGGCUAACUCCGUGCCAGCAGCCGCGGUAAUACGGAGGAUUCAAGCGUUAUCCGGAUUUAUUGGGUUUAAAGGGUGCGUAGGCGGUCGGAUAAGUUAGAGGUGAAAUCCCGAGGCUCAACUUUGGAAUUGCCUCUGAUACUGGUCGGCUAGAGAGUAGUUGCGGUAGGCGGAAUGUAUGGUGUAGCGGUGAAAUGCUUAGAGAUCAUACAGAACACCGAUUGCGAAGGCAGCUUACCGGCGCUCAACUGACGCUCAUGCUCGAAAGUGUGGGUAUCGAACAGGAUUAGAUACCCUAGUAGUC